AUACACCGGGGAACCCACUCUGU
rnacentral:rRNA from 1 species